rnacentral:rRNA from 3 species
GUGAAGCGGCAACAGCUCAAAUUUGAAAUCUGGCUUCGGCCCGAGUUGUAAUUUGCAGAGGAAGCUUUAGGCGCGGCACCAUCUGAGUCCCCUGGAACGGGGCGCCAUAGAGGGUGAGAGCCCCGUAUAGAUGGACGCUAAGCCUGUGUAAAGCUCCUUCGACGAGUCGAGUAGUUUGGGAAUGCUGCUCAAAAUGGGAGGUAAAUUUCUUCUAAAGCUAAAUACCGGCCAGAGACCGAUAGCGCACAAGUAGAGUGAUCGAAAGAUGAAAAGCACUUUGAAAAGAGGGUUAAAUAGCACGUGAAAUUGUUGAAAGGGAAGCGCUUGUGACCAGACUUGCGCCGGGCUGAUCAUCCGGUGUUCUCACCGGUGCACUCUGCCCGGCUCAGGCCAGCAUCGGUUCUCGCGGGGGGAUAAAGGCCCUGGGAACGUAGCUCCUCCGGGAGUGUUAUAGCCCAGGGUGUAAUGCCCUCGCGGGGACCGAGGUUCGCGCAUCUGCAAGGAUGCUGGCGUAAUGGUCAUCAGCGACCCGUCUUGAAACACGGACCAAGGAGUCAAGGUUUUGCGCGAGUGUUUGGGUGUAAAACCCGCACGCGUAAUGAAAGUGAACGUAGGUGAGAGCUUCGGCGCAUCAUCGACCGAUCCUGAUGUUUUCGGAUGGAUUUGAGUAGGAGCGUUAAGCCUUGGACCCGAAAGAUGGUGAACUAUGCUUGGAUAGGGUGAAGCCAGAGGAAACUCUGGUGGAGGCUCGCAGCGGUUCUGACGUGCAAAUCGAUCGUCAAAUCUGAGCAUGGGG